AAAUAAAAUUUUAUUAAUUUUUAAAAAAAAGUAGUUUAAUAAAAGUAUUUUGGUUUUUAAUUAAAAAAAAAUUAUUUUCAUUAUAGAAUAUAGUAUAGUAAUAGAUUUAUUAAUUUAUAUGUAAGAAUUAUUGAUUUUAAGUACCUUGUGUGUCAGGGUUUAUUAAAUUAAUUAAAAAUUUUGUUGUCUCGAAUCAAUAAGAGUUAAUUAUUUAUUAAUUUUAUUGUAGUAAAAAUAUUUAUAAUAAAUAAUUUGAAAUGAAACGUUAUUCGUUUAUUGUGAUAUCUAGUUUUUUAAGAAAAAAAUUUAAUUUUAGGUUUUUUUGAGGGUUGAUAUUAGUUUUGAUUUUAAUUUUUAAAAUACCUUAAUAAUAAGGGGAAAAGCUUUUGUUAUUAUUGAUUAAAAUUUAAAAAAUUAGGAAUAGUUUUUAGGAUUAGUAUUUUUCAUUUGUUAGGAUGUUGUAAUGAAUUAUUAAGAUUAUUUUAUUUAAUUUGAAUUUAAUUGAUUUAUUAAAAUUUAAUUUAAAAUUUAAAAAAAGUUAGUGAUAAUGAUAGAAUUAGUAAAAAUUUAUUUAAAUGUAAUUUUAAAUGAAAAAAUAAUUUAAAGGAAUUCGGCAAAUUUAUUUUUCACCUGUUUAUUAAAAACAUGGUUUUUUGAUUAUAAUUUAAAAUUGUACCUGCCCAAUGAAAAUUUAAAUGGCCGCAGUAUAUUGACUGUGCGAAGGUAGCAUAAUCAUUAGUUUUUUAAUUGAAAGCUGGAAUGAAUGGUUUGAUGAAAAAAUAACUGUCUCAAAUUUAAAGAUUGAAGUUUAUUUUUAAGUUAAAAAGCUUAAAUUUAAAAUAAAGACGAGAAGACCCUAUAGAGUUUAAUAUUAAUUAAUAAAAAUUGUUUUUGGAUUAAAUUUAAUUUUAUUUGUUUAAUAUUUUGUUGGGGUGAUGGAAAAAUUUAAUAAACUUUUUUUAAAUUAAUACAUUUAUUUAUGAGUUUUUGAUCUUGAAUUUUAGAUUAAAAGAAAAAAUUACCUUAGGGAUAACAGCGUAAUUUUUUCGAAGAGUUCAAAUCGAUGAAAAAGAUUGCGACCUCGAUGUUGGAUUAAAAUUAAAUUUAGGUGUAGAAGCUUAAAAUUUUAAGUCUGUUCGACUUUUAAAAUUUUACAUGAUCUGAGUUUAGACCGGCGUGAGCCAGGUUGGUUUCUAUCUUGUUUAAAAUUUAUGUUUUAGUACGAAAGGACCGGACAUUUAAAUUAAAUUUAUUUAUUUGAAUUAAAUU
rnacentral:rRNA from 1 species